rnacentral:rRNA from 1 species
AUUGAACGCUGGCGGCAUGCUUUACACAUGCAAGUCGAACGGCAGCGCGGGGCAACCUGGCGGCGAGUGGCGAACGGGUGAGUAAUAUAUCGGAACGUACCCAGAAGUGGGGGAUAACGUAGCGAAAGUUACGCUAAUACCGCAUACGAUCUACGGAUGAAAGUGGGGGACCUUCGGGCCUCAUGCUUGUGGAGCGGCCGAUAUCUGAUUAGCGAGUUGGUGAGGUAAAGGCUCACCAAGGCGACGAUCAGUAGCUGGUCUGAGAGGACGACCAGCCACACUGGGACUGGGACACGGCCCGGACGCCUACGGGAGGCAGCAGUGGGGAAUUUUGGACAAUGGGCGCAAGCCUGAUCCAGCAAUGCCGCGUGAGUGAAGAAGGCCUUCGGGUUGUAAAGCUCUUUUGUCAGGGAAGAAACGGCUUGGGCUAAUAUCCUGGGCUAAUGACGGUACCUGAAGAAUAAGCACCGGCUAACUACGUGCCAGCCGCCGCAGUAA